AUGCAUACACCCACAUUACAGUUAUAUGCAUGGAAUUUAGUCCUUACAAUUGUGGAAAGGAAACUAGACUAAUAGUUUGUGUGGGGGAAGGGCCAACUGGGAGUGGCAGUUGGGUCUUGUGACUAGCACUUCCUUCCUGCCCGUGGGGGUCUGGCUACCGGGUGUCGGAGGAGAGAGUAGCUUGUUCAGCCCAGACUGGAGUGGCAUGCUCUUCUUGGUUCAGCCCAAAGACACAGGCUUCUAAAGAGAUUCAUUUGAAUAGGAACUUGCACAAAAUUACUGACCUAGACAUAUUUCCUUUUCUUCUGAUGAGAGCCUUCCCAGAUCACCUUUAAAUUUCAAGUUCAACCUACUAAUGAUUUUAUUAAGUGGAUCAUGGCCAGAUAUGAAGAGGAAAUGGAUCUCAUUUUUUGGACAAGAUAUACAAAAGAGCCACUGCACAGGUCAAAAAAAACCAAUCCAAGAAGGAUUGACGCACUUCUAAGUCAACACAAAGGACUUGAACCUAGUGUGAAGACUCAAGGUUGCGACGCUUAA
rnacentral:lncRNA from 1 species